UUUUGGACAAGAUCAAAAAUCAUCAUUCUGAUAACAGCCUAAUAUCAUAUACCAUAAGUGCAAAAUCUACAAGUGGUGAUAUUUAUCAUUAUCCUUGAAAAGAGAGAUAAAAGAACAACUUCCCUAUCCACAAAACUUGGAAACUAGGGAUGCAAUUGCACAUACUGUGAUUUUAAUUCCUCAUAAUCUCUCACCCACAUACAAUAGCUUGAAUUCCUUGCUACUACAUCCUUAGACACCUCUUUUCUUUCCACUAAUCCACUCGCAUACUUUGAAAAGUCAUCAAGGGAAGACAACAGCAGAGCCUGAUUUCUCGGAUCUGUCUCGUUUCUCACAUUGUCUAGCCGCUCUCUAGCUUCCUCCACUCUGGCCCAAAAACAUGUGUCUUGGGUGGAACUUGCGAACGUGCUUCUUGUUUUCUUCUCUUCCUCUUUAAUUGGUCUCUCUUUCCACCACCUUUCAAAAAUCUUGUACCUCCGCUCUCUUCCAUUGCUAAUGUAAUGACCCUUCUUACGGUGCAUUCCUGUACGAUAAUACUCGGCAAUAUCUAAUGGCUCUACAAGGAGCAUAUAGAAUUGAGAUCCGUUCACCCACUUUGCUCGCCUGUGAAAAUCACGAGGAAGGUCAUUGUUAUCCAGCAUGUUAAUUACAUUAUCCCAAAAACGAGCUAGCUUGUACCGAUUCAUGUUGACUUUAAAGUCCCUCUUCGAGGCUCCUCUUUGCUUGAAAGAGUCAUAAUACCCCAUUUGAGCAUCAGACUGAUCACAUGUUGCUUUGUACCACUCUAUUUCUGCCCUAUAAGGUGUUAUUUUAGACAAUUUAAUUGCUAGAUUGGCACAGUUAAGGUUUGGUGUACGUCCCAUUCGCCUUGCCAGUUUCAGGCAAUUUUUGGCUGGUCGAGCAACAGAUUCGUCCUACAGAUUUGAUUCAAGAAGAAAUGACGCUAAAAUAACAAUAACAAGCUCAGUUUUCUGAUAAAGUCACGUACAAAAUAAUACGAGAAAACACCUACCUGGCAAGCUAUUCCUGAGGACUGCAAAGCCAGUGCAACACCAGCUUCAUAGCUUGAUUCAGGAAGCUCCGCAGGCGGGAAACUCGUCUUCGUCAGAACCUGGAGAGAGGCUUUCUCAACAUAGUAUCCAUACUUAAGGUGAUCCUCAAUGCUACAGCUUGGUGAACUGUUCAGCAACAGCGAAUGCAUCAUCUUGACAAUAAAUGUUGCAUUGUCGUUACAAAUAGCUCCAUCUUCAGAACAGAAGAAAUAGUUCCCAAAUGGCCAAAAGCCGCAAGUUACGUUUUUCCCUUGUUCGGCUUUUGCCAAACCUUCCAGGGAAGCUAAUACAGUGCGGAAAAUUUGAGAUUUCCCUUCAUCAAGUAAUUUUUCAGCAAGCAAAGCAAGGGGCGGUGAAGUCAUGGAUAACUGCCAGAAUUGAAGCAAGGAAUGCAGCUGAGGAUUUAGGGGAGCAAGAGGAGCAAAGAAUAGCCUUGGAAACACAUCAUGUUUUGAUACCACAUGGCAGAAGUUGCCACUCCAUCCCUCGCGGAGAAUGGCACGAGAAAGAGACUCAUUGCCCAGCAAUGGAGAGCCAAAAGUGAUGCAUAAUACUGAGAUAUUAGAAGAGAUGGAUUGAAGGUAAGAUAGUAGCCAAAGAGCACAAAGUCCAGCAACUGUUCCUCCUAUGCCGUGGCCUGCUAUCACUAUUGACUUGCUAUUCUGAAUCAUAUUUAACAUCCGAUUUUGAAAAUUUGGGUUGCUUUUGACAGAUAGGAAGAUCCGCAAGAACCCAGCAUGAACCAGGACAGGCUCCUUCCCUUCUUCUUCUCCUCCUCCUUCUUCUCCAUCAAAUUGAUGCUCCAAAGGAAAGAAAAGGCCAUUGGUAGCAGUAACAAGCGGUUCAAGAUUUCUGCCGGAGGUUGGGUCGGGCCCUGACCCCAAUUGAACACCAGAAAAUGCCAGAUGGCCGACGCUUCCCAUCUGCUCUGCUACAAAACCUUGCGACGGCAUCGUAUUGGCGCGAUCGCAUAACCUCCAUGACAUAGAUAGCAAUGGUGUGGAUGUGAGGAAAGUGGCUAGCAUCUCGCUGCUCUCAAACGGUGAAGCUUCGGUGUCCAUGGCUUUUUUCUUUUUCUUGUUGGAGAGGUGAUGAAUGAUGAUUGAUGACUACUGCUGCGAAAUGGAGUGGGCUUUGGGGUGUUGAAAUUUCGCGAAGAGACUUGUUUCUUUUCUCUUUGCUUUGGGUUUAUUCAGAAAUCAAAAUGAUGGUCAUGGGAUCGCAGUUGUGAAUGAUAAAAAGGACCCACUCAAGUCUGGUCGUCCUACCUCAAUUCUCAAAGUGUGCAAAUUGGAAUUGGGAAUGAAUGG
rnacentral:misc_RNA from 1 species